rnacentral:rRNA from 1 species
UACGAAGGGGGCUAGCGUUGCUCGGAAUUACUGGGCGUAAAGGGCGCGUAGGCGGCACUGUUAGUCAGGCGUGAAAUUCCUGGGCUCAACCUGGGGACUGCGCUUGAUACGGCAGAGCUAGAGGAUGGAAGAGGCUCGCGGAAUUCCCAGUGUAGAGGUGAAAUUCGUAGAUAUUGGGAAGAACACCGGUGGCGAAGGCGGCGAACUGGUCCAUUACUGACGCUGAGGCGCGACAGCGUGGGGAGCAAACAGG